rnacentral:misc_RNA from 1 species
UUAACUUAUUUAGCUAAUUGCUCAGACUGCAAUCUUCAGACAGCGUUCAAUGGUGUCUUCGGCGGGCGCGGGCCCGGGGGCAGAUGCCCCCCGGCGGCCAUACGGCGGGCCCGCCGAAGCAACAAGGUAUAAUAAACACGGGUGGGAGGUUGGACCCAGAGGGCCCUCACUCGGUAAUGAUCCUUCCGCAGGUUCACCUACGGAAA